GGGGGGGGGGGGGGGGGGGGGGGGGGGGGGGGGGGGGGGGGGGGGGGGGGUGGUGGUGGGGGGUGCGGGGGUGGGGAGGGGGGGAGUAGCACGUGGGUGGCCUGACGUUGACGUGGGGAAGAGGGCCGGCAACUGGGGGUAAUCCGGGAUGGGGGCUCGGGCAGCACGGGUGGGGUUGGAAGGUUGCGGGUGUUGGGGCUGGCCUCUCGGCUUAUCAGCUUGUUGGUGGGGUAGUGGCUUCCCAAGGCUGUGACGGGUAGCCGGCCUGAGAGGGUGCCCGGCCACAUUGGGACUGAGAUACGGCCCAGACUCCUACGGGAGGCAGCAGUGGGGAAUAUUGCACAAUGGGCGGAAGCCUGAUGCAGCAACGCCGCGUGCGGGAUGACGGCCUUCGGGUUGUAAACCGCUUUCGCCUGUGACGAAGCGUGAGUGACGGUAAUGGGUAAAGAAGCACCGGCUAACUACGUG
rnacentral:rRNA from 1 species